GUUGAUGUCUAUAAGCUAUUCCACUUGAUGAAUGUAUGGAUUCAGUGCUGGAAUUAGCGGAGUGUGUGGAUCAGGGAAGUCAAGGCAGGAGGGGAAUCUGCGGGGAAAACCCAAUUGAGUGGCUUACCCGAGACUUCUGAAUGUCCAAGAUAUUAUUCCAUGGGAAGAUCAUCUUCAAUAUGAUCUCCUGGAUGAUGGUUUGAGUCUCCCACAGAGAGAUGUGGUUGUCCUGCUUCUCCAUGGCCUGGCCCAUCACUGACUCUGCAUUCUGAAGGUCUCUGGCUUGCUUGGAGCUGCCAAACUUUGGGUUCAGAUCUGGAAUUAGAUGGUUUUUAUUGAUGUCACUUGAAAAUCUGAUUGUCAACAUCAUGAAAACAGUGCUAGGAAAAGCCACAAAAUAUUGCACAAGACCCAGAAGGACUGAAAGUUGGAGGAUUUCUUUCAGGGGAUAUAUUGUUUUCACUGGUUUAUCAGACAGACCAUCACUUCCUGCAUCCCAGGGUUAUAAGGACAAGUUCAACUUGCAUCAUCCUUCUCCAUUUCCUCAGCUGGCAUUCAACUUCCAGUUGGAUGCAUCAUCUCCUGCAGCCUCACCCUGUGAGCAGUGUGGAAAGAUUCCAUUCCUG
rnacentral:lncRNA from 1 species